ensembl:lncRNA
CUAAAAAACAGCACUGAAAACAAGAUGAAAUUAUAAUCAUAGAAUCGAUUGAGUUGGAAGGGACCCUUAAGGGCUAUUUGGUCCAAUUCCCCUGCAGUGAACAGGGACAUCCAGAACCAGAUCAGGUUCUCAGAACCCUUUCCAGCCUGACCUUGAAUGUCUCCAGGGACAGGACAUCAACCACCUCUCUGUACAGACAUUACAACACUGAAGAGGAUUUGAGACAACCAUAUGGGCUCUAUGGCCAAGUCAUGCUCCUCUAGAGACUGUGGAAGAGCACCUCAGCAGACUCUGCAAAGCCAUGAAGAUUAUUUGAGUCAUUCUGGAUUUGCUGUGGGACAAAAAACACAGGAUGUGGCCAGAUCCAGCAAACAUACUUUUCAAUCAGAUUUACAUAAAAUCCACUCCUUCACCCACCAGACACACAUACAAAAAAACAAAAUAAUAAUCAUAUCAAAACAGAACUGAUUGUGAAACCUCCUUUUGUCCUGUGAGAAUUUCAGAUUUCAGAAGUUUUACCAUCAAAACUUGAUAAUUCUUGCAGGCCAGUAAUCCAUGAAGAAUUCACCAUAGGUCUUUUGAGAUAUUUUUCAUGCUUUAGGUCUUUUUAAUAAUGGAAAUAAUAA